AUUGAACGCUGGCGGAAGGCCUAACACAUGCAAGUCGCACGAGUGGCGGACAGGUGAGUAAUGUCUCGGCAACUGCCCGAUGGAGGGGGCUAACUACUGGAAACUGUCGCUAAUACCGCAUCCUAUCGGAUGUGCCCAGAUGGGCUUAGCUAGUAGGUGGGGUAAAGGGUCACCUAGGCGACGAUCCCUAGCUGGUCUGAGAGGAUGACAACACACACUGGGAUGGAGACACGGUCCAGACUCGUACGGGAGGCAGCAGGGGGGAAUAUUGCACAAGGGGCGAAAGCCUGAGUCAGCCAUGCCGCGUGUAUGAAGAAGGCCUUCGGGUUGUAAAGUACUUUCGGCGGAGAGGCGUUACCCGCAGAAGAAGCACCGGCUAACUCCGUGCCAGCAGCCGCGGUAAUAC
rnacentral:rRNA from 1 species